rnacentral:lncRNA from 1 species
AGUUAGUAGUUAUAUUUGUUGAGUCAAGGGCCUUCAGUUAGUAGUUAUAUAUACUGAGGCAGGCCCUAAUUGCUGCAUUGUUUUCUUCAAGUGCACAACCAUGCAGAGUAGAUGCGUUGAACAUGUCCUUCAUCUUAAGAUAUUUGAGAGGCAACUGGACGCUGCAGAUUUAUGGUUAGGACAAUUAGUGAUAAUAUUAAUAAAGACAAAACAAUGCUUAAAGUCAUUUUUAGGAGGCGAAAAAAGUGAAAUUGCCUUGGUGGCCUUGCCUUAUGCAGCGGAGGGCUGCAAAUGAGCAAGUUGUGCAUGAGCUAGCUCGAGUUCAAAAAUUUGACUUAAAUUAGACUCGCUCGAUUUAAAAAAUGAGCUGGGUUGGAGCUAAACUUAGUUCACUUAAAUUUGACUUAAAUUACCUCAAAAUACUCAUAUAAAAACAAUAUAUAUAAUUUUAAUAAUUAUUAAUUAUAUCAAUAAUUAUUUUUUAUAACACUUAUCAUGUGUAAAAUAUAAACUAUGUUGAAUAUAAUG